rnacentral:rRNA from 1 species
CCUACGGGAGGCAGCAGUGAGGAAUAGUGGUCAAUGGGCGAGAGACGGAACCAGCCAAGUAGCGUGAGGGAGGAAGGUACAGAGGAGUGUAAACCUCUUUUGUCAGGGAGCAAAGCCCGGUACGUGUCCCCCUUUGCGUGUACCCUAAGAAAAAGCAUCGUCUAACUCCGUGCCAGCAGCCGCGGUAAUACGGGGGAUGCGAUCGUUAUCCGGAUUUAUUGGGUUUAACGGGUGUGUAGGCGGAGUAGCAAGUCAGCGGUCAAAUUGCGGGGCUCAACCCCGUCUUGUCGUUGAAACUGGUGCUCUCGAGUGGGCGAGAAGUAUGCGGAAUGCGUGGUGUAGCGUUGAAAUGCAUAGAUAUCACGCAGAACUCCGAUUGCGAAGGCAGCAUACCGGAGCGCAACUGACGCUGAUGCACGAAAGCGUGGGUAUCGAACAGGAUUAGAUACCCCAGUAGUC